rnacentral:rRNA from 1 species
AGCGGAGGGAUCAUUACUGAGUUAUUAAAACUCCAAACCCUUUGUGAACCUUACUGUCGUUGCCUCGGCGUGAGCUACGGCUACCCUGUAGUUACCCUAUAGCUACCCUGCAGCUACCCUAUAGUUGACCAGUAGCUACCCUGUAGUUACCCUAUAGCUACCCUGCAGCUACCCUAUAGUUGACCUGUAGCUACCCUGUAGCCGGCUUAUGGCCCGCCGAAGGACCGCUAAACUCUUGUUUUUUACCACUGUUUCUCUGAAUUGUAAACUUAAAUAAGUUAAAACUUUCAACAACGGAUCUCUUGGUUCUGGCAUCGAUGAAGAACGCAGCGAAAUGCGAUAAGUAAUGUGAAUUGCAGAAUUCAGUGAAUCAUCGAAUCUUUGAACGCACAUUGCGCCCAUUAGUAUUCUAGUGGGCAUGCCUAUUCGAGCGUCAUUUCGACCCUUAAGCCCCUGUUGCUUAGCGUUGGGAAUCUACAGCGUAGUUCCUUAAAGUUAGUGGCGGAGUUAGGGUACACUCUCAGCGUAGUAAUCUUUCUCGCUCGUGUGGUGGCCCUGGCUGCUAGCCGUUAAACCCCUAUAUUUUCUAGUGGUUGACCUCGGAUUAGGUAGGAAUACCCGCUGAACUUAAGCAU